rnacentral:lncRNA from 1 species
GUCAGAGUCAGUGUAAGGCCGGGACAUGGAUGUCAUAGGGCAUGGACAUCAGACCCUCUGCUGCGAUUAGGUACAAUUGCUUUAGCUCAGGUGGGCUCAGGAGAUAGCUGCAAACUAAACACCGUAGCUAAGACGCCCUCAGGGUGAGCCUGACCAGGAUGAGGUAGAGCUGAACCAAGCACUCACCGGAAGGUGUUAGAAACACCUGGGCCCCUCUGGCAGAGUGGACUGUAUUAUGAUGGCCUUUGCUCUUAUCAUGCAGCCUGAGGAGGACCAGGUGGGCAAUCCAACAGGAUGAACCGGCAUGCAGCUAAGAUUUCCUGAAUGAUUGCAAGACUUCUUCCUGCAAUGGGAAGUGAACAGAGACCCUGGGAAGUAUCUUGAGCAUAUAUGAAACCUCAAAGGCCACCACCACAGUGACACACUUCCUCUAAUAAGACCACAUCUACUCCAACAAGGCCACACCUCCUAAUAGUGCCAUUGCCUUUGGGAGCCAUUUUCUUU